rnacentral:rRNA from 1 species
AACUUAUUUCUUAAUUGGGAAAGAGAAUGAAUGGUUUUACUAAAAGUGGAUAUUUAAAUAGAGUGUAUAAAUUUUUAUUUUUGGUGAAAAUACCAAACUAGUCCAAUUAGACAAGAAGACCCUAUGAAGCUAUUAAGCAUUGAAUUUAUAUUAUAAUAUUUGUGAUUUUAAUUUUUUGGGGUAAAGAAUAAUUUAUAUAUUAAUACAAAGUUAUGUAUAAUUGAGCCCUCAGGAAUUGUGAAAAAGCUCCUCUAGGGAUAACAGCAUAAUUUCUCUAAAAGUUCUUAUUAGAAUAGAUGU